GACGAACGCUGGCGGCGUGCUUAACACAUGCAAGUCGAACGGAAAGGCUCCAGCUUGCUGGAGUACUCGAGUGGCGAACGGGUGAGUAACACGUGGGUAAUCUGCCCUGCACUCUGGGAUAAGCCUGGGAAACUGGGUCUAAUACUGGAUAUGACCUUUCUCCUUAUGGGGUUUGGUGGAAAGUUUUUCGGUGUAGGAUGAGCCCGCGGCCUAUCAGCUUGUUGGUGGGGUGAUGGCCUACCAAGGCGACGACGGGUAGCCGGCCUGGGAGGGUGAUCGGCCACAUUGGGACUGAGAUACGGCCCAGACUCCUACGGGAGGCAGCAGUGGGGAAUAUUGCACAAUGGGCGGAAGCCUGAUGCAGCGACGCCGCGUGAGGGAUGACGGCCUUCGGGGUGUAAACCUCUUUCAGCAGGGACGAAGCGUAAGUGACGGUACCUGCAGAAGAAGCACCGGCUAACUAUGUG
rnacentral:rRNA from 1 species